rnacentral:rRNA from 1 species
UACGGGAGGCAGCAGUGGGGAAUAUUGCACAAUGGGCGAAAGCCUGAUGCAGCUAUGCCGCGUGUAUGAAGAAGGCCUUAGGGUUGUAAAGUACUUUCAUCGGGGAGGAAAAAACAAAACUAAUAAUUUUAUUUCUUGACGUUACCCGAAAAAGAAGCACCGGCUAACUCCGUGCCAGCAGCCGCGGUAAUACGGAGGGUGCUAGCGUUAAUCAGAAUUACUGGGCGUAAAGAGCACGUAGGUGGUUUUUUUAAGUCAGAUGUGAAAUCCCUGGGCUUAACCUAGGAACUGCAUUUUGAAACUGAAAUACUAGAGUAUCGUAGAGGGAGGUAGAAUUCUAGGUGUAGCGGUGAAAUGCGUAGAUAUCUGGAGGAAUACCUGUGGCGAAAGCGGCCUCCUAAACGAAUACUGACACUGAGGUGCGAAAGCGUGGGGAGCAAACAGGGAUUAGAUA